UACGAGGGGGGCGAGCGUUGUUCGGAAUUAUUGGGCGUAAAGGGUGCGUAGGCGGUUCCGCAAGUCCUGUGUGAAAUCUUCGGGCUCAACUCGAAGUCUGCACGGGAAACUGCGGGGCUUGAGUGUGGGAGAGGUGGAGUGGAAUUCCUGGUGUAGCGGUGAAAUGCGCAGAUAUCAGGAGGAACACCGGUGGCGAAGGCGGGUCUCUGGGCCGAUACUGACGCUGAGGAGCGAAAGCGUGGGGAGCGAACAGG
rnacentral:rRNA from 1 species